GCCAGGUGUGGUGGGGUGUGCCUGUAGUCCCAGCUACUCGGGAGGCUGAGGUGAGGGGAUUGCUUGAACCCAGGAGGCUGAGGCUGCAGUGGGCCAUGAUCUUGCCACUGCACUCUGGCCUGGGUGACAGAGUGAGACCCUGUCUCAA
rnacentral:SRP_RNA from 2 species